rnacentral:ncRNA from 1 species
AUCAUGAUACUCCUGCAAUGCAGUUGUGUGAGAUACCACACAAAGAUGAAAUUUCUGUGA